rnacentral:rRNA from 1 species
AGUGAACGCUGGCGGUAGGCCUAACACAUGCAAGUCGAACGGCAGCACAGUAAGAGCUUGCUCUUACGGGUGGCGAGUGGCGGACGGGUGAGGAAUACAUCGGAAUCUACUUUUUCGGGGGGGAUAACGUAGGGAAACUGACGCUAAUACCGCAUACGUCCUACGGGUGAAAUCAAGGGAGCUUCGGACCUUUCCUGUCUGAAUGAGCCGAUGUCGGAUUAGCUAGUUGGCGGGGUAAAGGCCCACCAAGGCGACGAUCCGUAGCUGGUCUGAGAGGAUGAUCAGCCACACUGGAACUGAGACACGGUCCAGACUCCUACGGGAGGCAGCAGUGGGGAAUAUUGGACAAUGGGCGCAAGCCUGAUCCAGCCAUACCGCGUGGGUGAAGAAGGCCUUCGGGUUGUAAAGCUCUUUUGUUGGGAAAGAACAGCAGCAGGUUAAUACCCCGCUGUUCUGACGGUACCCAAAGAAUAAGCACCGGCUAACUUCGUG